CUGGCUUCAAGCAAUCCUUCUACCUUGGCCUCCCAAAGUCAUAUAAAUUGUAAUAUGAUCAAAUUUGUAAUAAUUCCAUUCACUUUGGGGGCUUGGAUAAAUUAUGCACAUUAUUUUGAACAGGAAUUGAAAUACAUACCAUAACAUCUUCCAGUAAUGAAGCCUUAUUUAUUUAGUAAAGUUUUAUAAUUUACCACAUCUAAAUUUUGCACAUUUCUUCUUAUUUUAUAAGUUUAUUCUGUGGUUUGAAGAUACCUCAGUAUUUACCUUAACCUGAUUUCAGCUUAUAAAAAGUAAGUUGUCUUCCUAAUAAGCCUUCCUACAAAUGACUUGUGUUUUUCUAUACAGGAUACAGGACAGGCAAAUCUUCAUCUUGUUUAACCCAGUUGGUUUGACUCAGCCAAACCCAUCUAUCAGGCUAUUCCAUUUUAAUUCUCUUCCAGUUCUCUUCAUACUUGAACCUAGUCUUUUGUUCUUAUGGUUUUACCUUUAACUCCUGCUUUCAGAGUUAGCUGAUUAUCUUUUGCUUGCAAAAGAUGAUUGGAGAAGCAAAGUUCUUUCAUGUCUGAAAAAUAAAGUAACUCUAUAAGCUUCAGGUACCCACUGCUGUCUGCUGAUUUGGCAGGAUCCUCUGGAAGAUGUCCAUGGCAGUGCCCUUGAUGGGCCUCUGGUAUGUUUCUCGGUCUACUCUCCUUGAAUCAGGUUCAUCUGUUUCUGUCUUGGGAUCUGCCAAUAGCCUGAUGGCCUUGGCCUUUCAAAUCUCAUUCAAUCUCAUUCUUGUUCUCCUCUUGCUCCCUAUUCUCUUUCACUAUCAAAUGAUUAUAUUAUACAUUUCUUCACAUUACCAUCCACACUGUAGUUAUUGCUUUCAUUUUGGGAGGCUACUGGAUCACCUCAUCUCUGCACUUUCUCUUCUGCCACUACAUUUUUCUUGAGUUUGUUGGUCUAAAUAGGUACCUGGUGGAAUGCAUAUGGUCCAUAUCACGUUUGACCACAUUUGUGAAGUAUUCUUGACCUGCCCAACAGGAUGUGGCUCCUCCCUCAUUCAGACUCUUGUAAAUCUCUUUUUGUUUUCCCUGGUAGUCAUGGUAUUCCCUUCUGUGUUAUUCAGUAAGUGUUUAAUGCCAUGUGCCAGUUGCUAGACUAGAUACUGAGAAUACAAAAAUGAAUAAGAGAGAGCUGCCAUCAGGGAUACCAGAGUGGGCAGAGAAGCAUGUGAAAAUAACUUAGUAUUAUAUGGAAAUAAACAUGGCUCAGGAGCAAUAAUCAUAAAGCAAUUAUAGAUUAUUUCCCGGAGCCCCUUACAAUGAACUCUUUAGGGCUAUCCCUUUCCCUUUCCCUGGAUGAAAAUUUAGGCAGGAACUGCGACUUUUAAAAUUUGUUCUUAGGGCACAAAACUCUCUCUCUCAAUUUAGUAAUUAGAAUGUCUUGUCUCAUGGGAUGAUGUCACAAGGUCAGUCUUGCUGUCCAGUUGAGGCAUCUCCCAUAGGUGCUCAGACACAUUUCAGGUUGGAAGCCUGAGCCCAAAGGAUGGAGAGUAGAUGGCUUUUUCCUCCCUGCCAAGCACAUCUACCCUUCCACAUGCUCCUAUUAGUGAAAUUUUCUUUUCCCUUCAUGGUCAGAGCUGAAGGGUAGUAGGAGAGAUAGAUUGGGGCAAGCUACACCUUACAUGCCUGGUACUAGUGUGGGUUGGGUGGUGCUGUUCUCUGGUCCUGAUGUGUGUUUAAUCUGGAUGUGUUCUCUUACAGGUGCUCUCACAAGUUCUUUGAGACCUCCAUCGACCUCUGGCUUCCCAACUUUCCCAGCAUCCCCUCCCUUGCCCCGACCAAUUUCUGAUGAUUUCUAUUUCUAUUUGGGUUGAUUAUUUCCUGCUCCCUCAGCCCUAGGAAUCUAGUGACAGCUGCCAGUUUAUCUCUGGUGAGGUCUAUUCCUACUUCAGGUAGCUUUCUGGAUCAGGAUCUAAGAUGACCAGAAACAAUAGUUUUUUCACUUAUUAGGCCAUAUCUGGCCCAGUGGAAACUCAUACAUUUAUCGCCGACAUGCCCCUCUCCUUAUCUACAUCUAAAUUUUUGGUCUACAUACUGAUCCCAAUUCAGCAACAACUCUCUUUCCUUCUUCCAUAAGGGAAUCUGUCAGCCCAGGUUUUACAUUUUAGGUUUUCCAAGCAAGAAUCAAGGCUCCAGUCCACAGUGCCCUCCAAACAGGCAAGGACGCAUAUUAAAUCCUUGUGGUUGUUCCUUAAAAACACUCUCUUUUAACUUGAGACAGAGGAUGAGGACCACAUUGCACUCUGAUAGCUGUCUCCAAAAAUCCUCCUCAAUCUCCACCCACCCUUUUCUCACCUCUUCCUAACUUUUUAAAGGAGGGCUAUUAUCUCAGAAGCUGCAAAAUUAAUUUUCUGCCAUGGGAUAUUUUCAAAUCUCACUUUGAAAUGUAGCAUCUAUUAUUUUCAGGCCUCAGCCAAAACAGAGAGAGGAUCUCAUUUCAGUAUACAGUUAUAUAAUUAGUGCCACUAUUAAGAACAUUAAUUAAGGAACUGUUAAGGAAUGUUGAUUCUCUGGCUCCUCUUAUUCAAUAAGAAGGCACCCCACCUCUUUCCACGGUGGGGAGACGACUUUGGCUACUUUUGCCAGGAAGAGGUAAUACAUCUUUUCUUAUAGUUACCCAGGAAGCUCUGGCAGUAUCAACUCUAGUGAAACUGGAGACAGCCCAUAUCCUUUGGCUACAUCCAUGUACUAGUGGGUCAUAUUACUCUGCCCAAACCAGUUCUAGACUCAUUCUUUUCCUCUUGGACAUAUCUGUCCUUAAAAUCCCAUGGAGCAGAGUCUCUUCCAUCAUAGCACUGGGAUAUUAAACCAUAAUGGGAGAUUGGAAACCCCACUGUGCACUUUAAUUUAGUUGAUGCUAGACAGCUCUGUCUAAAGGUAAUGCAUUUGGCUCUGAUCCUUGUGUUUAGACGCUUUGCCUUCUAUCCUGAAUGUAAAGUAUUUUACAUUCUGACUUCUAUGACUUCCACCCUAAAUGGAAGAAAUGUUAUGUAACCCCCAAAACUAACCAUGCACAUUGGUAAAGUGUGGUUUAACUUUUGGUGGGUAAGAAUUUUUUUUUUUUUUUUUUGCACAACAUUUUAGUAUCUCUCACAAUGGUUUGAAAUAAAUUUUGUUGCCUUUUUUUUAGUCAUAAGUGCUCUUUGAGGAAUAUAUUAAGGGCUAAACUUAAUCCAGCACAGUAAAGUGUUGAACUUAAUCAUCACAUUAAGCACAGUGAUGGGAACGUCAGUUCUGUAACCAAUGAACAAUAGUAAAAGACACGUCAGUUUGGGAGUUUAGCCUGAACAAAAAACAUGUGGUACAGGAAAACACAUCAGGAGGUUGUCCCAUAGUGGACUCAAUAGAGAAAGAGCAUGGAGUACAUAAUGAACAUUGUCAAGUGUUGCUACACUGGUUUGAUUUGAGAUUUUAAGGACCCUCAAGCUCCAUGUUAAAAAGCUUUGACUUAUUCUCACAGGCACAGAGGAUCUAAGUCUUGGGCAAAUAUAUGAGAGAAGGUGAAGUCUCUAAGAGCGGAGGAAUGCACAAGAAUGUUAUCUUAAGCACAGAGAACCAGAAGUGUUGAAUAUCUUUGGUCUGGACAAUGGGGCAAGGAAUAGAUUUAUGUUUCUUGUUAGCAGCCUCUGUAGGAUAUCCUUAGGGUUGCAAAUGGGCUUACAAACCUUCCUUUUAAAAUUUAUCCUGAGUGGUUGGUGAGCAUAUUAAUAAUUGCUAUCAUCUAUUGAAUUCUAUUGUCAUAUAAAUAAUUACCAAUCCUCACAACAAUGCUGCAAGCCAGUCUUGUAUCUCCUUUACAGAUUAGGACACAGUUGCUCAGAGAAGUUAAGAAACAUGUCCAAGUUUCCAAAAGUAUAACUGCAACCUGAUAUGGUCUAAUGUUCUUUUGACCAGUUUUGUCCCUGCUACGCCAAAUACAGAAGUCCCUGAAACCACUGGAAACAGGUUAAACUUAAAUCUGUUCCUUAGACUUCUGAUUAAAGGUGUGGUCCGGGAAGUGACCUUACCUGAGUUACCCUUAAACAAUAUAAAAAUAUACACUGGAAAUGUGCACAUCUAUACACAGAUUGUUUCUCAUGGUGGUGAAAACUGUUCAACUUUGGGGGUAGUCAGGGAGGCUAAUGAAAGAGACACAAUGGGGAAACACAUCUUGGGAUCAAAACAUGAUCUCUGGUCACAUUCCCUGGUUUUCUGCAAGUUGGUGGUAGAAAGUACCCUUGUGGAUGGAGUCAGACCUAAUAGUGAGAGAACCUUUGGUUUUCAGCCACCCUGUGAAAAUCACAGCAAAGACUGUUUUGUGAACUCUCCUAUCUACCCUUUUCCCUAACAGAUGAAGUGUAUGUAGAAACCACACCACACUCACGCAAUUUUUUUUUUUUUUUUUUUUGCCAAGGCCUGUGCCAUAAAAACUGAGAAAAAAGGAGGAAAACCAAAAGAACAUAUUAACCUUAUCUGGAGCCACAAUCAGCCACUACUUUUGAUAUGUCUGAUACUCUCUCCCACAACUACUUUACAGUGGGGUGAAAACUAUUUGUAAUCCAUUACCAAUGGGUUCUUAUGCUUCUCCUAGACUUCUAUCUCUCAUGGUCUUGUAUAUAAUAUCUAUACUUUGUUGUAUUUUAUUUUUCUGCACAUUUUUCUUUUCAUCUUCCCCCCUUUAGAUCUCAUUUUAAAAAGAAUAAUUUUUAAAACUCUUCUCUAUUUUUUAAAAAAAAUAUUAUCGUAAGACACCCACACACUAUUUCUUACCACGCUUCAUGAGUUGUUCUGGUAGAAAUUACACUUGCAGGGAAUGUAUUGGACCUCCCUGCUGGGAUGAUGAAGUAGUUUUGUACUGACUGUCAUCAGAGACAAAGGUGAAAGGUUAUUCCUGUCCCUCUUUCCCGCAAAACCUUGAGGAGAUAAGAAUUAAGACUUGAAGAAUGUUAAAGUAUUUUGGUGUGAUAAGUGUGGAUGCAAGGUAUUUAAAAAAUUAGAUAUGGCAUAGUUAUUAAUCAAAGAAAACCAGUUCUUAGAGAAAUAGGAAUAAAGUAAGUACUAGGGUAUAUAUUUUAUUGUAAGGUACAUUAAUUACUUUUAACUAUAUCAAAACUAUAAAUACAUUUUAAAAAUCAGUUAGAAUCUAAGUUUAGAAACAGAUAAAUAUUUUCUUCUGUCAAGGUAAUGGAAUAAGGCUAUAGAAUGAAUAGCGUCAAAAUAUGUACAAAUUCAGUGGCUCACAUAAAUCAUAUUUUGAUCUAUGUGCUUGGUUACAAGGCAUUCUCCAGUUUGGAAGAUUGUUGCAAUCUUCUCUGUGAGUGUGGGGUGGGCAUUUUUCUUCCACAGUAAUUCAAUAUCUCUCACAACAGUUUGAAAUAAAUGGAAACUUUGUUGACAUUUUCUUCAGGUAGAUGUAAAAUUGUUUCUACUAACCAUUGCUAGCUUCUGUAAGGGAGAUUUCCUUGGAAAUUCUUAUCGGAGAGGGCUCCCUUCUGCAUUCACAAAUAAUAUCCUUUUCCUCAGGAGCACCUUCAGAAGCACAGCUCAGCCCCCAAACACCAGGGAUCAUCUGAAAGUUCAGCUCAGUCAACCUUAGUAAGGUCAGUCAAUUACUGGAGGAGGUUAGGGGAUGGUGGGAGUGGGACUUGCAAUUUGACGAUAGCCCUAGCAAGUAUGACUCAGUUUCUAGUGGCAAGGAGCUCCAGGCUCCUCUGUGGAGCAGCUUCAUAAUUAAAUGUUAAAAUAAAAGUGCUUUUCUAUGAAGGAAAGCAUGUUUUCCUUCCCAAAUUCUAAUUUAAUAUUCGUCUUCAGAGCUCACAGCUUAGUAGAAAAUUCAGUCUUAAGAUUCUGCACACUUAAGCAGGUAGUAUGUGAUUAAGAUGAUGACUUGGUUCCAAGACUUUUAAAUCCAGUCCUCUUCCUUGCCACAUACAUGGUUUAUGAAUCUUAGCGAUUGGAUCUAUGUAUUUCCUCUAUGUUAAUAUCACACACUAUUUUCAGUGUUUUCUGUGGAUUCACCCUGCAGGGGUGGGAACUGAGAGGAUGAAGCCUGUUAAUGGUCUGAAGUUCCCUAGGGCUACAGGGUGAUGAUGUUAAGAUCUUUUCACACCAGCAUGGUCUCAGUGUGAUGAGGACGCCUCUCCUGAGAGGCUGUGUGAUGGAAAUUCAGAUAUAUGGGUGACUGCACAACAGCAUGUGCAGAAAAGGAAAUAUGGAAAUAAUAACUUCAGGGAAGAAGAAAGAGCAAACCAAGGAAUAGAAAUGAACCAAAGAAUCAAAACUGAAUAGAAAGGGUAAUGAAAUAGGGAUGGGUAUCAGAGGUUGGGGACCUCCAUUAUGGUUUCAGUUCUAUUAAUGAAUGCUGUGUGACUUAGGGCAAGACACUUAACUUCUCUGAGUCUCAGAUUCCCCCCUGGUUAUAUACUGGCUAUAUGAUUCAUGAAGUAUUUUGUGAUUCUAACCUCCAAGUAUUCUAUUUUCUCUGUGCUCAUAUUUUGAUUUUCAAUAUGUUGAUAGAUUUUAUUGUAGCAAAACACAAAUGUGUCUCAAUUCUUUAUGACAUAUUGUAAUGAUUGAGCAAGAAUGUUAGUUAAAAAGUGUCCAAAAAAGACAUAAAAUUCACAAUAUUUCUCUACCUUAAAAACAAACAAUAUGCACAUUAGUUUCCAACCUACCAAAUUGGAGAAACCAGAGGAAAUGUAGACUGCAAACUGCACCGAAGAAUCUUUUCUGAGCAAAUCAUCUAAGCCAGUUUGAAAAUGUCUUCCAAAAAUUCAUACUAUAUUGUUUUAAUACUUGCUAUAUAUUUUCAACAGUUACUUCAUGAAUAUUCUGAUGCAAAUAAGAUGCUUUCCUUUGAUUACUAAAACUACUAGGAAGACAUUAUUAGCAUAAUCCAAAAUUUCUGCAAAAAUCCCAUUUCUAUACAUGCUGAGCCAUAAUUUGGAAAAUAGUAAAACACAUAAAAAUGUGAAUAAGUCCAAUGGAAUAACCCAAGAGUUUCAUGUUAAUAAAACAGAAAAAUCAAUUCAUCUAAACAGUAUAAACUAAAGAUACAUACUACAUUCCAUGCAGAUACUCCUUUACAGGUAUUCUGAGCUUUUCCUAAUUAAUAAAAGAGUAGGCAUUAGUCGGCAGACCAAGCAUUACAUUGGAAGUCAGGGUAAUUGGGGCUAUAUUUAGAAUUUUGCAUUCCUUACUCCAUAACUUUCAGUACUCUCAGCCCUGGUGUCUCAGUUUUUCUUCUGUUAAAAUGAGGAUAAUGAUACUCACCUGACCAAUGUGAGAUUAAACUGUGAACUCUUAAAGAAGUAAACCCUAUGCAUUUCUAGAAAAAAGACAUGAUUUUUACUACUUCACUGAGACUGAAGCUUUUGGCAAAAGUAUCAUCCAUAAGUGUGUAUAAAUCUUGUAAGUUCCUUGGUGCCCUUGAAAAUUUCCAGGUGUAUCUAUGAUUUUUAGUGAGUGGACCCACCCUUAAUGCCCUCAGUUCAUUCAGCUGACCCAGGCCUUUUAAUCUUAGAGCAAGGCUGAAUGCCAGGUGAAAAAUCAGGGGUUGUCAAUUCCUUAAAACAGACUCAGAAACAGAAAGUCUUGAAGGGGGAUGUGAGAGUGUUACUCAGAAUGCGAUCCUCAGCUACUGUGGAAUAAGCCCUCUUCUCAGAGAACAAAUGGAAAACAGUGUGAUGAUUUUUGUGCAACACAGGACUCUUCAGGAUGGUGAGUCUAUUGGCCCACUCCGCUAAGGUGAUCCCUCUGUUACAGUGCAGGACCACAUCCUCACCUUGAAGGCAGUGGGACCCCAGUCCAGUCUUCCCUUAUGGAGUAGUAGAGUCAGAAGCCGAGGCCCAGUUCCUUCUGGCUGUGCCCAACUUCCUUCUAAUUCAUGGCUCCCUGACAAAGUGACAGAAGAUCCAAUGGCUCUAAGCCUGAUGGGCAAUGGUGGCCUUGGAGGUGAGAGGAGAGCCUUUCAAUGGGAAUGUCAAUCAAAGGAGGACAUGCGAGAGGGGUUUCUGUGCAUGUUCUCAGCUUUCAUAUAUACUAUGAAGUCCAUGAGAAUUAUGGACAUUGUAGUAUAUUUACACUAUGGUAUAGAAUUACGACAAUAUUCUCACUUAUGCAACAUCCCAUAUCCUAUUUGAAAGUGUAAAUGUGUUUUUUCUUCACCCAUUAUAAGUAGGGCCUUUUGGGUAAGCAUGAGAUCCCUGAACCGUGAGCUAAUAAUUUCCACUGUCAUGGCCUUGAGAUUGGAGGUUUGUGAAAGUUUCUUUUAAUUCAUCAGAUUUUUCUUGUAUGGAGGAGGACAAGUAACUGCAUACAUUGAUCUUCAUACGGCACAUGGUUUUCUUUGGGCACAUGAAAUUCACUUACAACCCCUUAGAACACUUAAGUAAGAUCAAAUGCAUAUAGCCAGCCCUACCUGAUUUUUUUUUUUUUUUUUUUUUACACCAUGGAGAAUUUGGCUUCUUGUUAAUUGCAUCAGCAGUCUCAAAGCUCUUUAUAGAAUCUUUCGUAAGUGAUAUUAAUAGUAAUGGUGGUCUUUUAUUAAUAAUGCAUAAUAACAAUAGGUGGCGUGAAAACAAUAUUAGUUAAGCGAUUAGAGAAAUGGCUAGAGUUGCGGUUAGAAAAUGGGCCUGUAGACAUCAGUACUACUAAAGUCAUUUAUUCUUUCUCUCACAAAACAGAAAGAAAUAUAAUGGCCGAUUAAGCUCUUGAUAAAAUCCUGCCACGAUGCAUAACUGCAGGCUGACGUUUUCAUUUGUGGGAGCAUCCUUGUUGGUAUUGCGUGAUGGGGUGUCCCCAGGAGAAAUAAUAGAAAACAGAGGAUUAUUGGCAUAAUUUCCCUAUACUCCCUGUGAUUUUCGUUCAUUCUUCCCCAUCUGUAGUUACCAUCCUUAGCAGAAAUGCAAGCAGAGGGCCUGGUUUCUAGUCCUGGUUCUGUUACACAAUGGCAGGCGAUUACAUGACUACGUCCCUGAGGCUCGGUUUCUUUCAUCUGUGAAAUGGGAAGGAUUAUAUCUAUUUGACAAACAUUUUAUUGAGAUUGCAAGGUAAAAGUGCACCUAAUCAUGCUUUGUAACAUGCUGUAAAAGAACUAUAAGCAUUUUCCUAAUAAUUCUCAGCCAAGCCCUGAAGCCAAUGCACUUCUUUCCCAGGCUCAUACUUCUGUUCCCAGCUUCUACUCUCCUACCUCUUCCUGUAGUAUUUCACAGGCCCAGAGUACUUACGUUGUCUUCUUAGGCACAAGAAAUCCUCCCAUGCACACACAAAAUUAGGACUACCCCUCUCCCCAACCACUACUCUUAGCUCGCUCUUUCUAUCUUCCAAAGGAUAACUGAAGACAAACAUGAUGAACAAAUUCAUCAUAAAAUGCUGAAUGUUGAUAACAGGGUCAUUUUACCUCUUCCUUUUUUUUUUUUCUCUCUGUCUUUCUCUUCUCCCUCUCCUUUCUUUUCUUCUUUCUAAGAGGGUGUGCCACACUGAAAUGGAUGUGAGGUAAUAUAUACAACGAAAUGUACAGAUAAAAGUACAAAUGUGUUAAAACUAUAAUAUGAUUAAAACAAGGUAGGAUGUCACUAUUCAAAUAACAUAGAAUGGAUGGAGAAAAUCUAAGCUAGGGAAGCUACUGAAAUUCAUGACAUUUCAAAAUAUUGAGCUUCCAGGAAGACAAGAUGAAAAGGGAAACAGUAAAAAGCAUAUUCAGGAGAGACAAAUUUUCUCUAACAUAAUUCCUAGAAAAAAUUAUCAUAUGCAUAUUCUUGGUGCAUAAAUUAGAAGGCAGGUAAUACCUGUCUUUUUUAAAAAGUAGGGAUAGCCUUCUUUUUUAAAAAGUAGGGAUAGCAGUCUUUUUUAAAAAGUAGGGAUAGCAGUCUUUUUUAAAAAGUAGCAGUCUUUUUUAAAAAGUAGCAGUCUUUUUUAAAAAGUAGCGAUAGCCUUCAUAUGGGUUUGUUAAAAAAUUGUUAUCACUGAUAAAAUACAAGCUGACAUCAAUUUUACAGGGACUCCUGGGGAAUUUGCAUUUUUAAAGUGAACUCUGAUCUUAAUCCUGAGAUUACUUACAAAAUCAGCAUCUGUGGUGUUAGGACGUGGAGGCUGAUUUUGUAAGCAGAGAUCUUCACCAUAAUAAUAAUUUCAUGCACUUGCUUUGGUUUUGCACAUGUAUUUUUCCAUUGUGGUUGGAUUCAGUGUGCCUUCCAUGAGUUUUAUGUCUCUGUCUGGUUUUUGGAAUGCGGACUCAGUAAAUGGAGGUAGAGCCUUGGAGAAAAUAGUCCAGAAAUCAUUUAAACCAAGCUGUAGCUAUCAUUUUAAUGUCCCUUUGAAGGAGAAAGCCUCAGAAUUAUUUCACAUAUAGCCUCUCAAAAAUAUUUUAAAGUAAGCUUUAUAAAUCAUUACAUGGCUCUUUUCUAGCCCUGGUCCCAAAGGUCUGGUAAGCUUUAAAUCCCUAGUGACACCUGCUGGGCAGACCUCGGCUCACUGCUGCAGGCUUUCCAUCAGCCUACCUCUUCUUUAGCAUGCAAAGCUGCAGGCCACUAGGUGAGGGGCUGGCUGCCGCUUGCACAGCUUGCAGCCAGUCUGCUCAUUGCUCAUGCAGGUGACCUCUGUCGGCAGAAUCGUGUGCCAGAGUCUCCCCAGUGCUCUCUCGGGGAAAUGAUUUCCAACCUGUCCAGACCCCAAGAAACAAACAGGGAUCUAUCAAAGUUGAGAGAGAGAGAGAAUCCACCACUAUCCACCCCCAACCCCAGCCCCAAGUUACUAAGCUGCUGCUUUGUCUGAAAACUCGGAGGUGAAAGAUGCUACUUGAGCCGUAUGUUUUGUUCAAGCACAAACCAAAUUAUGCUAUACUUGCUUAUAUCUGAACAUAUUGGUUUAUCUUACAUAGAGUUUAAUUGAUGCAAACUUGAACUUCAGUAUGUUAGAUUUUCAGGAAAACACCAUCCCUGUGAUUUAGAUUGCUAUGUUUUUCUUCGAACAAAGCAAAGAGGAGCAAGGCAAUUACACCCCUGCUUUGGUUUAUUUCCUCCAUAUUCACCAACCAUUACACAAAUAGUGUUUAACCUCUUGUAGUAUGACCUCUUGUGUCCUCUAGUGUCCAACUGCACUAUUUCUUUCUGAGCCAACAUCUGCAUCCUUGGACAGAGCAACUUGUGUGCAAAGUCCAUGUUAGCUGAUCAAGCAUGGCUUUGUUUGCACUUAUUCACUGCUCAUCCAGCACUGCAUAAGUGGUUUUGCAUAUUAACUAAGUGCACAGUAACCUUCCUUUACCUCCUUAGAGCUCCACCCCCUCCCACCCGGCCCAGGGAAAUCAACACUGUUACUCGCUGAGGAAGCUGCCAAGGGGUUGCCAUGGCAACUGUUCUGCUUUCAGCAGCUACUUUUCUGGUUUGAAGGGGGGAAGAAAAAAAAACCUGGGGAGAACUAGGCGGCUUUCUGAUCAGAGUUCAGAUAAAGAGGGUCACAGUAAUUUGUGGGCACUGACUAAAAUAACCAAUGGAUUUGAGAGUUACCGCAAAAGAAGCAAACAGACAAACUAAAGAGUCACUCUUCUGGAGCCACAAAGACCCCCUUAUUUUCCUCCAUGAACAUGUUGGACACAGUUCUGCCUUAGGACUCCUCCCUACCCCCUAUACCUGACAUAUCCACUGAUUUACAUGAAGGCUGAGGAUCAUCUGGAAACAACCACACUCCACUGAUGAACUCUGAUGUUUGGACAUACGAAAUCUUGGCUGCUGGAUGGAGGUGAACCUGGAGGAAGUGCAAGUACAGGGAGAAAAGACAUGGAGGAAGCCCCAAGAAUAAAGUGAAGAUGGCAUGAAAUGAAGUGAGCUAGACUGAACAGCAAAGCUGGAGAGCUGGAGAGGACAGAUGGCUUGGUAUCACAAUGCAACUCAUUGGAAAGUUCAUUCCAAUCCAGCCACCAUGAUUUAUGGGUGCAUCAUGAGAGAAAGAGAUAUGUGUGUAUGUAUGUUUGUGUGUUUGUGUGUGUGUUUAUGUUAAUAAAAGACUUUAACAUGUGGUGACAGAAGUGACCGACGUUAUGUAAGUUUUGCAGUGGCACAGAGGUAACGAUGUUCCAUUCACUAGCACUGAAUCUCAUUCAUACCUAGGUUGACAGUACUGGAAAUGAGAGAGGACUUUGGUCUUGGAGUACCACCUCCAUGAGCUCUCAAACCUGAGAUUGCAGAGCCUGGCUUAGCUGGCAAAGGAGGGGAAGGCACAAGGGAUAUCACUAACCACUGUGA